AUGACACAGCAGCAGACUUGAGAAACUGGUAACUUGCCGGUAAGGAGGAAAAAGAACUGACCUCAUAAGAGGUAUUUAUUUUGCUUUUAAGUAGCAGUUACCAACUUCCAGAUUCCAGAUUCACUUACUUCAGUUCCCCAAACUACCAGCCAAACAAGAUUAAGGGGCCUGGAGGAGAAAAGAGUAGAGGAAGGGGCUGUGGUGAGAUCUCUUUUAAGAACUUGGAAACAAGAGGCAUAUGGUUGAUCAGUGAAGAAAUAUGCGAAAGUACCUUCAAAACAGAACAUCUCACAGAGGAACAAUAUGACUGUAAUUCUACCUAAAAGAAGAUGACGGUACUGAGAAGGGUGUCUGUCAGCCAUGUUGGCACAGAACAAGGAGCUCCUCAGAGGCAAUGCUGUAGUGGAACCAACCCAAGCAAUCCCUUGGGGUGACGUAUAACACCAUCAGGAAUAUAUGACCUUUUUGGCAGGCUUGUCCUCAUUGAGGAAGGGGCAUUAACAAAGGUUCUGAGUCUAAAGUUAUUACACAUUCAAACUGCAAAACUUUUUAAUUUCUAUGACCAAUAAACAAAUUUCUGAUUACUGUUUUCUCAUAUGGCUUGCCAACAGGGUAAAGAAUAAACUUAAGACAUAUCUGA